rnacentral:rRNA from 1 species
UUCCUAAAUAGAGGGGUCAUCUUAACUAGAGAUAAUCUGGCACGAUGCAACUGGCAAGGCACCAAGACAUGUGUCUUUUGCCAACAUGACGAGUCUAUGAAACACUUAUUUUUUGAGUGUAAGUUCGCUCGGUCGGUUUGGGCCAUAGUUCAAGUAGCUUCAAAUUUAUACCCCCACGUAGUGCACGUAACAUGUUCGGCAACUGGUUGA